rnacentral:sRNA from 1 species
UAACAGCGGGUUGCACAGUCCUGCGGGGCGCU